UUAACACGAAUUUGUAUGGAGUUGGAACGUUUGCCUACGUUUCCCGCUAGGGGCGCUGUUCCAACUCCAUACAAAUUCGUGUUA
rnacentral:pre_miRNA from 1 species